CAAGUUAAUCUUUUAAUAAGAAUUUUCUUUUACAUAGAAUAUUUUAAUGUGUAAUUCGUUAUAACUUGA
rnacentral:tRNA from 1 species